UAGAGAUGAAGUUCGUCUCAAAAAGAUAAACAAGAAUAAUCAAAAAGAGCUUAUUAAUCCAAAGAUUGUCGAAAUAUCACUUGGACCCUUGUUAGAAUUUCUUAUGGUUUCACUUAUCAAUUUCAUGUUAAAAGACGAUGCUCUCUUUAUGGGUUUCAUUGACAAAUCCGUGUAAGGUUUUUAUAUAUCUUCUCUCAAAAGGAAAAGAAUAAUAAUAAGUAAACAUGUCAUUGAUAUUUAACUCUUUAAAUGAAGAACUAAGCAACUUACUAAACAACCCAGUAAGUAAAGAAGAGAGAAGAUACAAUGUCCAGGGGGAUGACGAGACAGUGUAUGAAGAUGAUUCUAGCCACUUCCCGACUUCAAGGUAUUACUCAACCUGAAAAUCAAAGAUAGACAAAACGAUGAAUAUUUGAGAACCAAACCAAACCAAACACGCAAAGAGUUUGUUUAGUAGCAUAUAUACUGUGGUUGCAUACCAGUCUAAUCCUUCGAAAAGGCCCUCGCCUUUAACAGCACAAGUUUUGAAGAUAGCCCACUGACGACUCUUGAUCUUAUGCAACUCCAAGGCUUCCGUCACAGCGGCAUCAUCAAGUGCACCAGGAAGAUCCUGUUCGGUUGGUUCAAGGAAACUCAGAACCACCAAAAAUGUUUGCAAAUUAUUCAGAAGGGGUAGUACCAUUUAAGAUACUACUACUAACCUGCUUGUUUGCAAAAAUGAGAACAACCGCACCUUUCAAUUCCUCUUCCUACAAAACCAGUUUCAAAAGUUAGAUGCUGUUCAGUUUGAUGCAGCAGUCUAUAACAAUUCCUAAAAUGAUUCAAGAGAAUAGAAAAGAGGAGGAAUCCUUGAGCAGUAGAGAAUUUUUAACCUCCAAAAUAGCAUGGAAUUCCUCUUUAGCCACCCCGAUUCGAUCUGUAUCGCUCGAGUCAACAACGUAGAUCACUGCUUGUGUAUUCGGAAAAUAGCAUCGCCAGUAUGGCCUGUCACAUUUAACAAAAUUAGAAGCACCACACAAACGAAACAACUACAAUCAAUCUUGAUGCUAAUUCUACCUGAUGCUCGUUUGUCCACCUGCCACAAGAAACAAAUUGAUUUACCAAAUUGGAUUUAAUUAUUUUAAAAAUGUGGAAACUUUACUGAAUCAAUCUGAUAUGCUAAGUAGCCUACCUAAAUCCCAGACCUGAAACUUGAUAUUGUUGUACUGCACUGUCUCCACGUUGAAUCCAAUAGCUAUCAAACACAUCGGAGCAAUCGCCAAAUUAAAAACUAAAUUAUCAAAAAAUCAAAGAAAAAAAAAUCGAAUCAGCUAGAUCUAGAGAUGAAUUACAUACUAGGAAUCGUGGAGACCACUUCCCCCAUCUGAAGCCGAUCUGUAAUCCAUAAAAAAUCAAAUUCAUAAAGAAUCAAAAAACGAAUUGGUUGAGAUGGAGGGAGGGGAGUGAUGUUUUUUUACAGAGGAUAGUGGUUUUGCCAGCAUUGUCGAGACCGAGGACGAGGAUACGAGCUUCUUUGUUGCCAAACACCGAAGAGAACAUCCGCGUGAACAGGAUCCCCAUCUUCUUCUUCUUCUCCGGUUCAGAUCAGAUCAAAGGAUCUAAAGAGAGAAUCUUCUUCUUCUUCUCCAGGACCAUUCGACCUUCUCUUCUUCUUUUGAGAGUUGGAGAAAUUUUCAGUUUUUUUUUUUGCUCUUUUGUUGCCUCUGAUUGAGUCAGAGUCUUUCGUUGGGCCCAAAAUAUAUAUGUAUAUAGUCCAUACUAUAGUUAGUUUCUAAGCCCAUCGUGUAUAAUAAGCGCUUUUAGUAAAAAAAAGGAUUUUUAAUAAUUGAACCCCUUUGAUCAAAAAAAGUAAAUAAUUGAACCCAUCACCUGAACAUUAAUCCUAAAAAAAAAUCAUCAACUAAAAAUUUCAAUUCUAGUUCUGUUAACAAAUGUUACUCUCCGCCUAAAAAACCAUUGAGGAUGUUAUUGAAGUCACUGAAGAAGUCGUCCAAGAAUGAAGAAGUGGCUUCUCGUUAUUUACUUGUCCUUGGAUCUCUCUUUAGACAUCAUCAUUAAACUGUUCUUUUCGUUAUCGUGUUCUGUUUGAAGUUUUAAAAGAAUUUUCAAUUUUGGUUCCUUAGGAUACUAUGUUUCUUAUCCAGUGUUUGAAUUACAUGUUGGAGCACUUUAAUAAAUCGACCGUAACUUAAAUUCAUUAUCACUUUGGUUAUGUCCCACCAGCAACUCUUGAACAUGUUUUUGGGAUCACAAACAUCACCAUCGCUUCCAAUCGCAAUAAUUAUUAUGUUCCUCACACACUGCUUGACAUUCCUUUUCCUGGGACAUCUUAAAUGGCAAGCUUGGCGAAAACAUGAUGGGCUUAUUAAACUGGGUCUAUCGAAUUCUUGCCCAAAACCUCUGUUCCCCUCAUCAUUUCAAAUAGGAGGGCACCACGCGUUAUGUUUGGAUUCGAAUCAAAGCUCUUGCGAUCCAAUCUAUUGAUCAUGAGCUACAGACAAAUUCAAGUUUACUGCCAUAAGCUGAAAUCGCUGGCUGCUUUGCUCUCCAAUGACCAGAGGACAAACAAUUCAAGUUUACUUCUAUAAGCUGAAAUCUCUGGCUGAUCUGCUUUCCAAUAUUGAUGCGCCAGUCAACACACUUGUCAUGAAAAUUACAUCGGUGUUAUCUAACACAAAGAGCCAUUUUCGAACUUUUCCAGUGAUAAAUCAAUGCUAGAGAUGAAGUUCGUCUCAAAAAGAUAAACAAGAAUAAUCAAAAAGAGCUUAUUAAUCCAAAGAUUGUCGAAAUAUCACUUGGACCCUUGUUAGAAUUUCUUAUGGUUUCACUUAUCAAUUUCAUGUUAAAAGACGAUGCUCUCUUUAUGGGUUUCAUUGACAAAUCCGUGUAAGGUUUUUAUAUAUCUUCUCUCAAAAGGAAAAGAAUAAUAAUAAGUAAACAUGUCAUUGAUAUUUAACUCUUUAAAUGAAGAACUAAGCAACUUACUAAACAACCCAGUAAGUAAAGAAGAGAGAAGAUACAAUGUCCAGGGGGAUGACG
rnacentral:lncRNA from 1 species